rnacentral:tRNA from 1 species
GGCUCCAUAGUGUAGCGGUUACCACGUCUGCUUUACACGCAGAAAGUCCUGGGUUCAUGCCCCAGUGGAGCCA